rnacentral:tRNA from 1 species
GAGCUAGUAGCUCAGCAGGUAGAGCACAUCCCUUUUAAGGAUGGGGUCUUGGGUUCGAGCCCCAACUGGCUCACCA